CAGGGUGAAAGAUUGCGGAAGUCGGCAAUCCUCGGAUGCUUGCAGUGCAGGUUCAACUCCUGCCAUCCUGACCA
rnacentral:tRNA from 1 species